rnacentral:rRNA from 1 species
GGUGAACGCUGGCGGUAGGCCUAACACAUGCAAGUCGAACGGCAGCACAGUAAGAGCUUGCUCUUACGGGUGGCGAGUGGCGGACGGGUGAGGAAUACAUCGGAAUCUACUUUUUCGUGGGGGAUAACGUAGGGAAACUUACGCUAAUACCGCAUAAGACCUACGGGUGAAAGCAGGGGAUCUUCGGACCUUGCGCGAUUGAAUGAGCCGAUGUCGGAUUAGCUAGUUGGCGGGGUAAAGGCCCACCAAGGCGACGAUCCGUAGCUGGUCUGAGAGGAUGAUCAGCCACACUGGAACUGAGACACGGUCCAGACUCCUACGGGAGGCAGCAGUGGGGAAUAUUGGACAAUGGGCGCAAGCCUGAUCCAGCCAUACCGCGUGGGUGAAGGAGGCCUUCGGGUUGUAAAGCCCUUUUGUUGGGAAAGAAAAGCAGCAGGUUAAUACCCCGCUGUUCUGACGGUACCCAAAGAAUAAGCACCGGCUAACUUCGUG